rnacentral:rRNA from 1 species
GACGAACGCUGGCGGCGCGCUUAACACAUGCAAGUCGAGCGAUAACCAUGGCUUCGGUCAUGGGGAGAGCGGCGAACGGGUGAGUAACACGUGAGCGAUCUGCCCUCGACACUGGGAUAGCCCGGGGAAACCCGGAUUAAUACCGGAUAGCCUCUCGAGCUCUCGGGCUCGUGAGAAAAGAUGGCUUCGGCUUUCGGUUGAGGAGGAGCUUGCGGCGGAUUAGCUUGUUGGUGAGGUAACGGCUCACCAAGGCGACGAUCCGUAGCUGGUCUGAGAGGACGAUCAGCCACACUGGGACUGAGACACGGCCCAGACUCCUACGGGAGGCAGCAGUGGGGAAUCUUGCGCAAUGGGCGAAAGCCUGACGCAGCGACGCCGCGUGAGGGAAGAAGGCCUUCGGGUUGUAAACCUCUUUCAGGAGGGACGAAGCUACUCGGGUUAAUAGCCCAGAGGGUGACGGUACCUCCAGAAGAAGCCCCGGCUAACUACGUGC